GUGCUGUAUGAAAGGAGAGAAGAUUAGCACUAGAAGAAAUGACCUGGCCCUUGUGGCCUGUAACAGACAUACGGUUAAGUCAUUGCCUCCUACUUUGUGACUUAUUCAGGGUUCUAU
rnacentral:ncRNA from 1 species